rnacentral:lncRNA from 1 species
CCAUCUCUUAUGGCUUUUGGAACCCCCGAACUAUUCCAUGAUGCUAUUGAUCUUACUUGAUCCGAAAUAAGAAACAAAACCGAUACCCCUCUCACAAGCUUAGAGCAGACCGAGUCAACCAUAACAAAUAGAACAAGCCUUCCACAACGGGCGUCAACGACCCCCUUUGGCACCUCAUGGUCCUUCACUAUGCCAAUCGUCUAUGCUCUCAAGUUUGGACCCAACACAAUGAUAGACCAAAAGAAGACAAUCCCAAUACCCGAAUCACUAUACAAGACUGAUAUUGCCCUUACCAUCGGUACAUACCCUCGAAGAAAUGGCUGAUCUUUAAGGUAUUCUCACCAUACCUAUAGAUAAAUCCCAAAGUCAAGAGCUCACUCGGAGAACCAUCCUCACCCGCAUGGAACAAAACGGGAAAGAUCUCGCAGCACAUCGAGCCAAAAUACUUGAGCACCUAAGGAACAGACUUGAAGCAAUAGAUCGAACCCCACGCCUCAAACUCGGCUGGACUUCUCGGGAGCCUUUGGUACUCCCAAACUUCCCAACUCCCGAUCUGUACUUAUGAGAUCGGGUAAGCAUCAGAAACAACACCCCAACAUGGAAUGCUCAAUCGAAUUUCGAGAUUUAACAGGUCACACGAAGUCGAAACUAGAUAUCUCGAGCAUGAAAGCCCACCAGCUCACUUCUCCACCAACCUAGCCAUGGGAUUGAAUGACCCACGUC